GUGGCUGCCGGGAAAGCGAUGGCGGCGGCAGCGGGAUCUGCUCCGACUCUGUUCCUGUGCUGGAGAGCAGGCCCUGAGGUGUCCCUGAGCAAUGGCCCGGAGGUGAGCCCAGAGCUGGCCCUGAGGUGGCCCUGAGAAGAAGUGGAAGGCAGAGGUGGUGCUGAGGCAGGAGAGCCCCGUGCUGGGGAAGAGGCUGAGCUGGGAGUGCCCAGCAGCGAGAAGGUGCUGUGUCCAUGCCCUGUGUGCCAGGAUUUGUCCUUCCCAAAGCUUGGGCGGAUGGAGGAGGAGGCUGCAAGGAAGAUGCUGCAGGCCCCCCAGGCAGGUGAGGAGGAAGUCAGUGCCCCUUUGGCCCUGUCUUGUGGUGCAUCUGUUGAGCAGCCUCCCAGCAGGGAGAAACCCUUCAGGUGCUUGGAAUGUGGGAAGGGCUUCAGCUGCAGCUCCAGCGUGAUCCGACACCAGCGCAUCCACACUGGGGCACGGCCCUACACGUGUGGGGAAUGUGGGAAGAGGUUUCAGACCAGCACACAUCUCCUCCUGCAUGAACAGACGCACACAGGAGAGAGGCCCUUCCACUGCACUGAGUGUGGGAAGAGCUUCACCCAGAACUCCACCCU